UUAAGUUAUUAAGGGCGCACGGUGGAUGCCUUGGCACUAGAAGCCGAUGAAGGACGUUACUAACGACGAUAUGCUUUGGGGAGCUGUAAGUAAGCUUUGAUCCAGAGAUUUCCGAAUGGGGAAACCCAGCAUGAGUUAUGUCAUGUUAUCGAUAUGUGAAUACAUAGCAUAUAAGAAGGCACACCCGGAGAACUGAAACAUCUUAGUACCCGGAGGAAGAGAAAGAAAAUUCGAUUCCCUUAGUAGCGGCGAGCGAAACGGGAAGAGCCCAAACCAACAAGCUUGCUUGUUGGGGUUGUAGGACACUCUAUACGGAGUUACAAAGGACGACAUUAGACGAAUCAUCUGGAAAGAUGAAUCAAAGAAGGUAAUAAUCCUGUAGUCGAAAAUGUUGUCUCUCUUGAGUGGAUACUGAGUACGACGGAGCACGUGAAAUUCCGUCGGAAUCUGGGAGGACCAUCUCCUAAGGCUAAAUACUCUCUAGUGACCGAUAGUGAACCAGUACCGUGAGGGAAAGGUGAAAAGCACCCCGGAAGGGGAGUGAAAUAGAACCUGAAACCGUGUGCUUACAAGUAGUCAGAGCCCGUUAAUGGGUGAUGGCGUGCCUUUUGUAGAAUGAACCGGCGAGUUACGAUUUGAUGCAAGGUUAAGCAGUAAAUGUGGAGCCGUAGCGAAAGCGAGUCUGAAUAGGGCGUUUAGUAUUUGGUCGUAGACCCGAAACCAGGUGAUCUACCCUUGGUCAGGUUGAAGUUCAGGUAACACUGAAUGGAGGACCGAACCGACUUACGUUGAAAAGUGAGCGGAUGAACUGAGGGUAGCGGAGAAAUUCCAAUCGAACCUGGAGAUAGCUGGUUCUCUCCGAAAUAGCUUUAGGGCUAGCCUCAAGUGAUGAUUAUUGGAGGUAGAGCACUGUUUGGACGAGGGGCCCCUCUCGGGUUACCGAAUUCAGACAAACUCCGAAUGCCAAUUAAUUUAACUUGGGAGUCAGAACAUGGGUGAUAAGGUCCGUGUUCGAAAGGGAAACAGCCCAGACCACCAGCUAAGGUCCCAAAAUAUAUGUUAAGUGGAAAAGGAUGUGGCGUUGCCCAGACAACUAGGAUGUUGGCUUAGAAGCAGCCAUCAUUUAAAGAGUGCGUAAUAGCUCACUAGUCGAGUGACACUGCGCCGAAAAUGUACCGGGGCUAAACAUAUUACCGAAGCUGUGGAUUGUCCUUUGGACAAUGGUAGGAGAGCGUUCUAAGGGCGUUGAAGCAUGAUCGUAAGGACAUGUGGAGCGCUUAGAAGUGAGAAUGCCGGUGUGAGUAGCGAAAGACGGGUGAGAAUCCCGUCCACCGAUUGACUAAGGUUUCCAGAGGAAGGCUCGUCCGCUCUGGGUUAGUCGGGUCCUAAGCUGAGGCCGACAGGCGUAGGCGAUGGAUAACAGGUUGAUAUUCCUGUACCACCUAUAAUCGUUUUAAUCGAUGGGGGGACGCAGUAGGAUAGGCGAAGCGUGCGAUUGGAUUGCACGUCUAAGCAGUAAGGCUGAGUAUUAGGCAAAUCCGGUACUCGUUAAGGCUGAGCUGUGAUGGGGAGAAGACAUUGUGUCUUCGAGUCGUUGAUUUCACACUGCCGAGAAAAGCCUCUAGAUAGAAAAUAGGUGCCCGUACCGCAAACCGACACAGGUAGUCAAGAUGAGAAUUCUAAGGUGAGCGAGCGAACUCUCGUUAAGGAACUCGGCAAAAUGACCCCGUAACUUCGGGAGAAGGGGUGCUCUUUAGGGUUAACGCCCAGAAGAGCCGCAGUGAAUAGGCCCAAGCGACUGUUUAUCAAAAACACAGGUCUCUGCUAAACCGUAAGGUGAUGUAUAGGGGCUGACGCCUGCCCGGUGCUGGAAGGUUAAGAGGAGUGGUUAGCUUCUGCGAAGCUACGAAUCGAAGCCCCAGUAAACGGCGGCCGUAACUAUAACGGUCCUAAGGUAGCGAAAUUCCUUGUCGGGUAAGUUCCGACCCGCACGAAAGGCGUAACGAUUUGGGCACUGUCUCAACGAGAGACUCGGUGAAAUCAUAGUACCUGUGAAGAUGCAGGUUACCCGCGACAGGACGGAAAGACCCCGUGGAGCUUUACUGUAGCCUGAUAUUGAAAUUCGGCACAGCUUGUACAGGAUAGGUAGGAGCCUUUGAAACGUGAGCGCUAGCUUACGUGGAGGCGCUGGUGGGAUACUACCCUAGCUGUGUUGGCUUUCUAACCCGCACCACUUAUCGUGGUGGGAGACAGUGUCAGGCGGGCAGUUUGACUGGGGCGGUCGCCUCCUAAAAGGUAACGGAGGCGCUCAAAGGUUCCCUCAGAAUGGUUGGAAAUCAUUCAUAGAGUGUAAAGGCAUAAGGGAGCUUGACUGCGAGACCUACAAGUCGAGCAGGGUCGAAAGACGGACUUAGUGAUCCGGUGGUUCCGCAUGGAAGGGCCAUCGCUCAACGGAUAAAAGCUACCCCGGGGAUAACAGGCUUAUCUCCCCCAAGAGUUCACAUCGACGGGGAGGUUUGGCACCUCGAUGUCGGCUCAUCGCAUCCUGGGGCUGUAGUCGGUCCCAAGGGUUGGGCUGUUCGCCCAUUAAAGCGGUACGCGAGCUGGGUUCAGAACGUCGUGAGACAGUUCGGUCCCUAUCCGUCGUGGGCGUAGGAAAUUUGAGAGGAGCUGUCCUUAGUACGAGAGGACCGGGAUGGACAUACCUCUGGUGUACCAGUUGUCGUGCCAACGGCAUAGCUGGGUAGCUAUGUGUGGACGGGAUAAGUGCUGAAAGCAUCUAAGCAUGAAGCCCCCCUCAAGAUGAGAUUUCCCAACUUCGGUUAUAAGAUCCCUCAAAGAUGAUGAGGUUAAUAGGUUCGAGGUGGAAGCAUGGUGACAUGUGGAGCUGACGAAUACUAAUCGAUCGAAGACUUAAUCAA
rnacentral:rRNA from 1 species